AUUGAACGCUGGCGGCAGGCUUAACACAUGCAAGUCGAGCGGAGAUGAGGUGCUUGCACCUUAUCUUAGCGGCGGACGGGUGAGUAAUGCCUAGGAAUCUGCCUAUUAGUGGGGGACAACAUUCCGAAAGGGAUGCUAAUACCGCAUACGUCCUACGGGAGAAAGCAGGGGAUCUUCGGACCUUGCGCUAAUAGAUGAGCCUAAGUCGGAUUAGCUAGUUGGUGGGGUAAAGGCCUACCAAGGCGACUAUCUGUAGCGGGUCUGAGAGGAUGAUCCGCCACACUGGGACUGAGACACGGCCCACACUCCUACGGGAGGCAGCAGUGGGGAAUAUUGGACAAUGGGGGGAACCCUGAUCCAGCCAUGCCGCGUGUGUGAAGAAGGCCUUAUGGUUGUAAAGCUCUUUAAGCGAGGAGGAGGCUACUGAGACUAAUACUCUUGGAUAGUGGACGUUACUCGCAGAAUAAGCACCGGCUAACUCUGUGCCAGCAGCCGCGGUAAUAC
rnacentral:rRNA from 1 species